rnacentral:rRNA from 1 species
UACAGAGGGGGCAAGCGUUAUUCGGAAUUAUUGGGCGUAAAGGGCGCGUAGGCGGCCUGGCAAGUGGAUGGUGAAAUCCCUCGGCUUAACCGAGGAACUGCCAUCCAGACUGCUUGGCUUGAGACCGGGAGAGGUGAGUGGAAUUCCCAGUGUAGCGGUGAAAUGCGUAGAUAUUGGGAGGAACACCGGUGGCGAAGGCGGCUCACUGGACCGGUACUGACGCUGAGGCGCGAAAGCGUGGGGAGCAAACGGG